rnacentral:rRNA from 1 species
GACGAACGCUGGCGGCGUGCUUAACACAUGCAAGUCGAACGGAAAGGCCCUGCUUUUGUGUGGUUCUCGAGUGGCGAACGGGUGAGUUACACGUGAGUAACCUGCCCUUGACUUUGGGAUAACUUCAGGAAACUGGGGCUAAUACCGGAUAGGAGCUCCUGCUGCAGGGUGGUGGUUGGAAAGUUUAGGCGGUUGGGGAUGGACUGGCGGCUUAUCAGCUUGUUGGUUGGGUAGUGGCUUACCAAGGCUUUGACGGGUGGCCGGCCUGAGAGGUUGACCGGCCACAUUGGGACUGAGAUACGGCCCAGACUCCUACGGGAGGCAGCAGGGGGGAAUAUUGCACAGUGGGCGGAAGCCUGAUGCAGCAACGCCGCGUGCGGGAUGACGGCCUUCGGGUUGUAAACCGCUUUCGCCUGUGACGAAGCGUGAGUGACGGUAAUGGGUAAAGAAGCACCGGCUAACUACGUG